rnacentral:tRNA from 1 species
ACGAGGGUGGCGGAAUUGGCAGACGCGUAUGAUUCAGGUUCAUAUUGUUUCACGCAGUGAGGGUUCAAGUCCCUUCCCUCGUACCA